AGUGAACGCUGGCGGUAGGCCUAACACAUGCAAGUCGAACGGCAGCACAGUAAGAGCUUGCUCUUACGGGUGGCGAGUGGCGGACGGGUGAGGAAUACAUCGGAAUCUACUUUUUCGUGGGGGAUAACGUAGGGAAACUUACGCUAAUACCGCAUACGACCUACGGGUGAAAGCAGGGGAUCUUCGGACCUUGCGCGAUUGAAUGAGCCGAUGUCGGAUUAGCUAGUUGGCGGGGUAAAGGCCCACCAAGGCGACGAUCCGUAGCUGGUCUGAGAGGAUGAUCAGCCACACUGGAACUGAGACACGGUCCAGACUCCUACGGGAGGCAGCAGUGGGGAAUAUUGGACAAUGGGCGAAAGCCUGAUCCAGCCAUACCGCGUGGGUGAAGAAGGCCUUCGGGUUGUAAAGCCCUUUUGUUGGGAAAGAAAAGCAGCAGGUUAAUACCCCGCUGUUCUGACGGUACCCAAAGAAUAAGCACCGGCUGACUUCGUG
rnacentral:rRNA from 1 species